UGAAACUUCCCAGACCCUCAAAGAUGGUGAUGACAGAUGGGAUUAUGCCAAAACAUAAUCAGACCCCAUUUUUUUGUAGUCACUACUACAAAACAUUAAAUAGAUAACGCAGAAAAAACGUUGUAGUUUCAGUCAGAAAAACGUCGUGGUUAAGGGUGUCAUCUAUUUGACACCCUUACACAACGUUUUUAAAACGUUGUAGUUAAGCACAAUACACAACGUUUUUAGGGAAAAAACGUUGUAGAUUUAUUUUUCAAAAAUUAGCAGAUGCUUAAAAACGUUGUAGAAUGUAUGAUUCCACAACGUUUUCUGGAUAAAAAUGUUGUUGUUUAGUAUAUCAGACAACAUUUAGGAACAUUUACACAACGUUUAUAAUGUGUCAUCUAUUUAGACAAAUUUAUAUAACGAUUUUAAAACGUUGUAGUGCGACUUAAAAAUGUUGUAAUACAUGCAUGUAACAUUUGUUUUUAAAUAUCGACCAUAGAAAGCAACAACAGACAACGUUUUUAACCAAUUUAUACAACGUUUAGAAAGUGUCAUUUAUUUAUACAAAUAUACAACAUUUUUUAAAUGUUGUAGAUAAAAAAAAAGAUAAAAAAAAGGUUGUGGUUCACCUAUAUUACCAAUGCACCUGCAAUAUGCUAAUGCCAUGAUAUAUAGCCAAAAUGUAUCAACCAUUCAAAAUACAUCCCAAUAAUACCAUUCGUUUACAGUUUUAAAUUACUACAUCCACAAAAUAUAUACCAAAAUAUAUCCAUAUAUGCAUCUCAAAUUACUACUAUAUUGAAUUGUGAAUUUGAUUACAUGCAUCCACAAAAUAAACCAAACUAUUCAUAAAAUUAAGGGGAUAAAUAACGUUUUGGUCACUGUACUAGGGUCCGAUUUUCAUUGUGGUUACUGAAACUUUUUUUGUUACAAUCAAAUAACUGUACUGUCAAAAAAUUACAAAAUGGUCAUUCCGUUCGAUUUCCGUCCAAAAAUUUGACGAAAAUGCUGACUGUGCAUAUUGACCAGUUAUUUUUGCUGACGUGACCCAUUAUUUGCUGACGUGGAGGGUUAUUUACUGACGUAGAGGGUAGAAGGUUUGCCUUAAAAAUUUUCUUAAAGAAAAUGUUGCUAACAAGUGUUGAACUCUAGACCUCCCCAAACUAGAACCUUAUAUUCUAACAAAAACCACUGGACCACUACCUAUUAUACUAAAAUUUAUGUAACACUAAUAUUUAAACCACCUAGCAUCGUUUAUAUGCAUGUGAAGAUGAGAUAAUAAUAACUGUAAUAAUAAUAAUAAUUGUAAUAAUUAUUAUUGUAAUAAUAAUACUAAAUUUUAAAUAAUAAUAAUUAUUGUAAUAAUUAAAAUAAUAAUAAUUAAAAUUUUAAAUAAUAAUAAUAAUUAAAAUAGAUAAUUAAAACAAUUGCAUAUUAAAUCCGACAACUUUACAAUUGCUUGUACAAUUUUUAAAGCUAUAUAUAUAUAUAUACUACAAUUAUAAAAUGAAUACUUAAAAUAGAACCUUAUGUGGGUUGGAGGGCUUGAAGGUGUUUUAAUUUCUUUAUUAAAUUUGGGUUGUGAAUUAAUAGUCUACGUACUUAAUUAACACUAAUACUUAAGCAUAUCAAAUAUGUGUGCGUGAUCAAAUUCAUGUUAAUUAGUAGUAGUAAUUAGUACAAGGGAUUGACUUUGACUCUAUCUCAUUAAAUUAUUUUAAACAAUUCUUAUCAUCUUAAUUAAUUUGUAGAUAGUCAUUUUUCCUUGGCUCUCUUUGUGCGUUUGAGUGUACUCUAAUUGGAAUUAUUAAGCAACUUGAUUGGAGAAUAGAUAAUUAAAGAAGUCCAAUAAGUAUGUUAUGUAUUAGCGGAAGAAACGAAGGAAAAGAUAUCGUAAUUCUUUUUUAUUUUAUUUCUUUUAAUUUUGACAUCGCCAUCAAAAUAUUUCUUCAAUAUUUUUUUAAUUAUUAUUAUUAUUUUAAUUAUUACAAUAAUUAUUAUUAUUUAAAAUUUUAAUUAUUUAAAAUUUAGUAUUAUUAUUACAAUAAUAAUUAUUACAAUUAUUAUUAUUAUUAUUACAGUUAUUAUUAUCUCAUCUUCACAUGCAUAUAAACGAUACUAGAUGGUUUACAUAUUAGUGUUACAUAAAUUUUAGCAUAAUAGUUAGUUGGUCCAGUGAUUUUUAUUAGAAUAUAAUGUUCUAGUUUGGAGAGGUCUAGAGUUCAACACUUGUUAGUAAUAUUUUUUUUAAGAAAAUUUUUAAGGCAAGCCUUCUACCCUCCACGUCAGCAAAUAACGGGCCACGUCAGCAAAAAUAACGGGUCAAUAUGCACAGUCAGCAUUUCCGUCAAAUUUUUGGACGAAAAUCGAACGGAAUGACCAUUUUAUAAUUUUUUGAGAGUACAGUUAUUCGAUUGUAACAAAAAAAAAAUUCGAUAACCACAAUAAAAACCGGACCCUAGUGCAGUGACCAAAACGUUAUUUAUCCCUAAAAUUAAGCUACUACCUAAGCAUAUGCAAAAAAGCCUAGUUCUCCCAAAAUACGUCCAUUCAUCUAACAUAUUCACCGUUAACUCGAGGAAGCUAUACGUUGCCCACUCAUCCCGUACUUCGUCAAUUUGUUCUUGUGUGUACGUUAAUUCACAUGCCUUAUCCCAUUGAAAUAAAAGAACAACAGAUUUAGUAUUCAACAAAGAUACCAAAUCACAAGGAUACCAAAUCUCAUUGUUCUAAAAGUCGC
rnacentral:lncRNA from 1 species